rnacentral:misc_RNA from 1 species
UACGUAGGUGGCAAGCGUUAUCCGGAAUUAUUGGGCGUAAAGCGCGCGCAGGCGGUCCCUUAAGUCUGAUGUGAAAGCCCACGGCUCAACCACAAGCGGUCAUUGGAAACUGGGGAACUUGAGUACAGAAGAGGAGAGUGGAAUUCCACGUGUAGCGGUGAAAUGCGUAGAUAUGUGGAGGAACACCAGUGGCGAAGGCGACUCUCUGGUCGGUUUCUGACGCUGAGGUGCGAAAGCGUGGGUAGCAAACAGG